CAGAGCUCAGGAUGGCCCAAAACGCAGAAUAAUAACGCUUCGGGAACUUUUAAUAAAGUGGCGUUCCUUAAAAGUUUGCUAGGUGCAAAGGUGCGCCCCGGUCAGAGCUCAGGAUGGCCCAAAACACGAAUAAUAACGCUUCGGAACUCCUGCUUAAUCAUCUUUUAGAAAGACUUCGCUCUCAAUUGGAGCAUAUUCUGGGACGCAUGCCUCUUGACCUGGACUUCUUAGAGUUCACUUGCACACAAGAACUUGUGUUAUUAAAUGCUGUAUCCAGUCAAGUAACUGUUUGUCCAGCUAUUCUAGACUCACUGACACAGCUACACAGUCUUAUCAAUCUGGAAAAAGACAAAAGGGAGCAACACAUUGCAGUUGUGCAGUUUGAGCAAGGACCGGCUGGGCGACAAAGAAUGGUCAUAUCCCCAGAGUACCUUAGCAAACUUUUGGAACUUAAUCUGUCUGUUCCAUGUAUAGCUAAACUUUUGGGGAUGUCCAGGCGCACAGUAUACAGACGCAUGGCUGAGUCUCAGUUAAGGGAUUAUACAGCACUAUGACUGAUGAAGAGUUAGAUCAGUGUGUAAGAGAGAUUAAGUCGAGGCAGCCUCACUCUGGAUAUCGGAUGGUGAAGGCCCUUCUGCAAGCCAGAGGACUGAGGGUGCAGUAUAACCGCGUCAGAGCCUCCAUGCACCGUGUUGACACCACUGGUGUCAUAAGCCGCAUGGUCCACGUAGGAUGUAUCGCUCGACGGACCUACUCAGUUCCAGGACCCCAGUCUUUGAUGCACAUAGAUACAAACCAUAAAUUAAUUCGGUAAAUUCUUAUCAAGCAAUGUUUUUGGCAAAAUGCAUACAUUCAAAGUGUGUUUGCAAAGUAUUUGGUAGUUAUCAGUAUGCUCCAUAACACAUUUUUUAUACUGCUGCUUUCAUGUUACUGUAUAUGUACCAUCACAGCUAAGCUCCUUAAAAAUGGUAUACACCUGGUGUAUUACGUUUAGAAACUGUGUUUAGAACACUGGCAGUAUGUUAUAUGCAGCUGAAUUUUUUUCUUAAAUUCUCUUUCAGCUACAACAUCGUUGUCUUUGGUGGUAUUGACGGUUUUUCCCGUAAGAUAAUGUAUCUUGGUGCAGCCUCCAACAACCUUGCAUCAACCACCCUGGCUUUCUUCCUAGAAUCUGUUGAGAAGUUUGGUUUUCCUCUCAGGGUUCGUGCUGAUCAGGGAGUGGAAAAUGUUGACGUUGCACGCAGCAUGUUUACAGUCCGUGGCCCUGGGAAGAGCAGCUUUAUAUCCGGGAAGAGUGUUCACAACCAAAGGAUGACCUAGGUACUUUUCGUGAUGGUUGGGACAAUCAUCCGCUGAGGACAGAAAGCAACAUGACCCCCAACCAGCUGUGGGAGCUGGGUCGUACACAUUACCCAAUUCCAGGACUAGAUAACACAGAGGGCAUGGAUAUUCUUGACAUUGAGUGGGAGAACAGCGGACUUCCAUUUGAUGACCAGUCGAGCAUCAUUGUUCCAGACACAGCAUCACCCCUGACCGAUGGACAAAUGACAGCUUUAAGAGAUGCAGUUAACCCGAGAGCUGCAUCCCAGUCCUAUGGCUGCGAUACUUACAUUGCUGCCGUUCAAUUUUGUGAGCAGUUUGUCUGAACUGAUCAGAAUGAUUUGAGUUAAGAGACAAUAAAUUUUUUUAACCUGAAUUGUAAUGUUAUUCCUUUGUCAAGAGAACGAAAGUUCUGUUAAUAUUUAAGUAACACUUUAGUCCCCCUGUUUGUGUGUAACAUAGCCCAGACAGACAUUUCAUUAUUUAACUCAAAACCUGUUUGAGUCUGAAGUUUUAGU